rnacentral:lncRNA from 1 species
CUCUCUCUACCCCAUUUUCAACAUUAUUUGUUUGUAGAGAGGGAGAAGGAGAGGGAGAGAGAGAGGGAGAGAGAGAGAGUUAAUGUUGUCAUUCCAUAAAACAAGUGUGCAGGUCUAAAAACGGUUGGCAUUUCACAAGCCACCCCAAACUCCCAAAGAAACCCAAGAAACAGCUCAAAAGAAAUAGAAGAAAGGAAAUGGGAAAAAAGAAGAGAGAGAGAGAUGGGCCCUCUCUCUCUCUCUCUCUCU